rnacentral:pre_miRNA from 1 species
UUAGCUCAUAUUUGUAUGGAAUGGGAUCGUUUGCUUACGUUUGUCGCUAGGGGCGCUGUUCCAACUGCAUACAAAAUUGGGUUC